rnacentral:rRNA from 1 species
UACGUAGGGGGCUAGCGUUGUCCGGAUUUAUUGGGCGUAAAGAGCGUGUAGGCGGCCAGGUAGGUCUGCUGUGAAAACUCGAGGCUCAACCUUGGGAUGCCGGUGGAUACUGUCGGGCUAGAGUGCGGAAGAGGCGAGUGGAAUUCCCGGUGUAGCGGUGAAAUGCGCAGAUAUCAGGAGGAACACCGGUGGCGAAGGCGGGUCUCUGGGCCGUAACUGACGCUGAGGAGCGAAAGCAUGGGGAGCGAACAGG